GGACGAACGCUGGCGGCGUGCCUACUCCAUGCAAGUAGAACGCUGAAACUUGGUGCUUGCACCGAGCGGAUGAGUUGCGAACGGGUGAGUAACGCGUAGGUAACCUGCCUGGUAGCGGGGGAUAACUAUUGGAAACGAUAGCUAAUACCGCAUAAGAGUAGAUGUUGCAUGACAUUUGCUUAAAAGGUGCAAUUGCACCACUACCAGAUGGACCUGCGUUGUAUUAGCUAGUUGGUGGGGUAACGGCUCACCAAGGCGACGAUACAUAGCCGACCUGAGAGGGUGAUCGGCCACACUGGGACUGAGACACGGCCCAGACUCCUACGGGAGGCAGCAGUAGGGAAUCUUCGGCAAUGGACGGAAGUCUGACCGAGCAACGCCGCGUGAGUGAAGAAGGUUUUCGGAUCGUAAAGCUCUGUUGUAAGAGAAGAACGAGUGUGAGAGUGGAAAGUUCACACUGUGACGGUAUCUUACCAGAAAGGGACGGCUAACUACGUG
rnacentral:rRNA from 1 species